GUUAUCCUGCGAUGUGCGUAAGGCUACUUAUGUUUUUAACCUUGAGUGUUUCUAGGGAGACAGAACUUCAUGAUGUAUGUCAGGCCCACCUCCUGUAUGGACGAAUGGGAAGGCAGAAGCAUGGACGGGUCACCCACCUGUUAGUUGCAGGUUAAAGAAACAUGAGGCUGAACGGCAGAGCGGGGGAAUU
rnacentral:other from 1 species